GCGGUGGUGGUGAAAUGGUAGACACGCUACUUUGAGGGGGUAGUGGGAGUAAUCCUGUGCGAGUUCGAGUCUCGCCCACCGCACCC
rnacentral:tRNA from 1 species